rnacentral:lncRNA from 10 species
AGAAAUAACUGGGGGCAUGGAGAAUGCGGUGGCUGUAAAGGGCCGCUGAGGCGGUGGAGGCCUGGCAGAGAGCGUCCCCGCGGUCGCGGCUUCUGGCUUCUCUGUGGAGCUUGGUUCUUCCGUGGUGGUGCAGCACCCCAGGAACUUCAGGAACCAGUCCUUCCUUGGAGAGCUCCCCGGGACAGCCACGGGGGCCAAGUGAAACUAGCGCGUUUUCUUGGAUCCUACACUUUAUAGUGAGUCAUAAAUACUUUAAAUACAAAGCCAACAACAUUUGCUGCAAAUAAACGUAAAAAUACUGUUAAAGUGUAAAGUGUUUUCCUCCGUACCAUCUGACGUUUCUGGCGGUUCGUUGAACGCGAGAGAACGCUGAGCCGUCUGCACUGAGCCCGGGAGCAUCUUCAGGGCAGCGCCGCCCACGCGCGAGGUGAAUGAAGGACACGGCCUCUUGACACUCCCAGGCAGCACAGAUAGACGGAUCCAUCCCAGUUUCUGACCUGUAGCAUAGUCCCUCUCUCUGAAGAACUUCCUGUAAUAUUUUUUGCUAGAAGAGGAUAUGAGGACACAGACUCACAGAGGGAAGAUUAUGUGAAGACACAGGGAGAAGACGCUGCCUACAAGCCAAGGAGAGAGGCCU